CCUGUAUCCAAGCAUCAUAGGAUAUAAGUAUGCCCCGUCUUAUAUUUUUUCAAGAUUGUAUGUCCAGUCUUCAAGCCACAGGCCACGACCAUUAGGCCAUAAAGAGGCUUCACAGCAUUCUAGGAAGAACAGUUCUUUUAAAACCAUGCUUUGAUUUGGUCCAUGCAAAUAUAGAAGCAUGAUUCUGGAAAAAGCUGAAUGGCUCCUUUAUUUACACAUGUACCCACUAUUUCUAGCUCAACAGACAACCAUGCAGUUCUUAGCCAAAAGGUUUUACAGCUGAAUCAUGGAGAUUUCCCGUCAGAGGUGGACCAUAGUAGCGAUGGACAACAAUAGAAAAUACAAAAAAAGAUUUAAUGAUAUCAUAAUACUCAAGUAAAAAGCCUCGUCCCAUUCUUUGACAUGUAAAAGAAACACCAGAGACAGCUAUUUCAACUUUCCCACGUCCUCCUCCUCCAGGACAUUUCAUGCAAAUCCUGUCUGUUUUGCUAGAGUAAUUACCAAGUGAAAAAAGGCUUCCAAUACCGGUCCUUCCUGCUGUAAAAGUGAAAAAGAAAGAAAAUGAUAUCUUGAUCAAUGUUGACUUUUUCAUUGAAAAUAUCAUCACAAGCAGGUAAGAAAUAUGGAAAUAGAAUAACGAGUUCAUAAAUAGACAUUCUGCAAAUGAAAAACAACUAAUCAUAUAAUCAGUUAAUUCUCUCCAUCAAUCAUAUUUAGUAAAAAUCCACCCCACCUCCCUGCGAAAGAAAAAGAAAAAAUAAAAUAUACAGUAUGAUUUAUGGCACAAAUGUUACUUGAGUGAUCAAAUGAAUUCCUGUACCAUGAGACAAAAUUAGAACAUUGCCACGCACAAGUUGUCACUCGAAACAGUGCUUUCCCACCCAAAACACCUACCAUGGCAUCAACCCACCUUCAUGGCCAAGAAACCGAGAUUGAUCGUUCUUAGCCGAAUGUAAAUUAGUUUACUACCCUAAAACUUACAGAAAUUAAAAGCUAAGGCCGGAUGCAUGCUAAAUAUGCACCUAACAAACCACAAGCGGAGGUAGAAAUCUCUGAAGUAUCCUAUGAAUCAAGUAGAGAUUUCAGUGUGAGAAUUUUUUGGGGGAACAAUCAUACUAUAUUAUAUUAAUUUAUUUUCCGAUUUGACUAUCAUAAUCUACAUCCUACUAGAAAUGUCCAAACACAAACAGUCUGUAGAUCCUAUCUAAAAAAUUCCAAACGGGAAAGGGAAGUUUGUUGAUUUCUAUGCUCUUUAACCCCCAAAACUUAUUCUAAGAUUGUUUUCACAUUUUUGAGUCCUAUCACGAAUAACAAAUUUAUGGUUGAAUUGGAUGCAGACAUGACUUUUUUAUGACUUGUGCAAAGCAAAGAUCCAGGUAAACAAUCAAUUUCACAGUUGCCCAUUAGGAGUAAUAACCACAAAAGUUCUAAUUCUAGCAAAACAGUUUUCUUGUCGAAAGUGCUCUAAACACUAAUUUGUCACAUGGCAUAUUAGCAAUACUACUAGUAGACCCAGGAACUAAUGAAUAAACCAGUUCUUUGAAUUUGUACAUGAUAUGGAAGUAAGGUCUUGGUCCAUGGGUAAAAAGACAUGUUUAGAGGCCUUGAGGUUAUGAUCUCAAUUUGAAGUUCCAUCGGUAAUGUUGUCCAGUUAUGUGAUUAUUUUUCAUUUCUUUUACUCAUGGCUCAUGCAUCAUUUAUUGUAUAUGUGGGUUUAGAAUUUCAAAUGAAACAAGCAGUAGCAAUAAACAAAUGACUUUGAAAUCAAAGAGCAGAAAACAGUGAUUAUCUGGGAUGUAACAAAGUGAUUUUACCAUCAUAUGCUUUUAGAACCACUUGAUAGUUAACAAAGCCAGAGAAAAGUGUUGUCUGCAAUUAAAAGCUACAAUAAUCAAAACGUUUGCCAAGUAAUAAUCAUUAAGCAGGACACACUAACAAUGAUCUGUAUCGUUCAAGACCUGUGAGGUUAGAAACAGCAGAAAUGAAACGCAUACUAAAAAACUACCACAUAUAUAAAAGAAAAUGUUUAGACUUUUAGUUGUUUUCUCAGCAAUCCCCAACAUAAUUAAAAAUGAAGCCAAGUCAUUUUGGACUAAAUAAUGUCAAUUGAUUAUAGAAUAUCAAAAAAAAAAAAAAAAAAAAGUACAAUUAGGAGUAACAAAGGAAACUCUAGCAACAUUGUGUAGUGAAGGCAAUCAUUUUACAAUCAGAAAAUUCCAAAACAUAAACAGAAAGUUGGGAAAUAAAGCUACCAAUUUUAUAGUCAUACUUCUUAUCUAAGAUAAAAAAAACCAUUGAAAAGAAUGAGAAGAUCAAGGGAACACCCAAAAAAGCUUGAACUCCAUCAUCCCCACUACUAUUCCUUUGGUGCCGUGGUCUCUCUGGGUCCUCGCAUCUUUGUUGGGCGAGGUGGACCGCUGGGGAUUUUCACGAUUUUGGUCUUCCCUUGAGGAGCGAGGGUUGCUUCUUUGUGAUGACUGUGGGGCAUCCUAACAUUCGGUAGUGUUAUGU
rnacentral:lncRNA from 1 species